rnacentral:rRNA from 1 species
GACGAACGCUGGCGGCGUGCCUAACACAUGCAAGUCGAACGCUGAACCCGCUUCGGUGGGGGAUGAGUGGCGAACGGGUGCGUAACACGUGGGCAACCUUCCCCCGGCUCUGGGAUAACUCCAAGAAAUUGGGGCUAAUACCGCAUGUGACCGCUGGCCGCAUGGUCUGGUGGUGGAAAGGGUUUCCGGCUGGGGAUGGGCCCGCGGCCUAUCAGCUUGUUGGUGGGGUAGUGGCCUACCAAGGCGACGACGGGUAGCCGGCCUGAGAGGGUGACCGGCCACACUAGGACUGAGACACGGCCCAGACUCCUACGGGAGGCAGCAGUGGGGAGUAUUGCGCAAUGGGCGGAAGCCUGACGCAGCGGCGCCGCGUGGGGGAUGACGGCCUUCGGGUUGUAAACCUCUUUCAGCAGGGACGAAGCGCAAGUGACGGUAACUGCAGAAGAAGCACCGGCCAACUACGUG